GCUGUUUGAAAGGACUUUAUCGAUCUCUUUAUUAACAUCCUAGCUUCGGUUUGUUGUGUGCUUAUUGUGUGCUGGGCCUGGGCUGAGUGGUUUACAUGUCUUCUCUCCUUUAACACUGCAUUUCCCCAAGGAGGCGGGUGCGGUCUUAUUAUCCCAUCUUAAAGACAGGCCAGUGGCCUGAUUCCAGAGCUCAUGCUUUAACCCCACGUUGCACUUUCUCUCACUGCUAGUGUAGACGGAAGCUCCUUUGGUGCCAGAUUAUAAAGGUAGAAAUUUGUGGAGGACAUCGAGGAGACAGAAGACAUGCUUUAUACAUGUUUCUUUUUAUUUUAAAAAGCUUUGAAAUACAUUUGAAUGAAAAACUAAGCAGUUGCUUAUGCUGUCAGUACCUGUCUCUGCUCUUUAAAAAGUAAGCCACUGCCUCUUACCUAAAGGUCAGCAUGGGCUCCAUCAUACAGCGGUCAGGUCCAUCAUACGGCGGUCAGGUCCAUCAUACAGCGGUCAGGUCCAUCAUACGGCGGUCAGGUCCAUCAUACGGCGGUCAGGUCCAUCAUACGGCGGUCAGGUCUGUAACUCUUGACAGGAAGGUGCAGUAGCAGAAUGGCGAGAUGCACUGAGGGUAACCAGAUGAUCUCAUGGGACUUACCCAGUGUUAGCACCAAAGUCCCAUGAACUGAGGUGUUAAAACAGAAAGGCCUGUGUCCUCAGAACCCCUCCAAGUCACUGGCCAACUAUGACUCAUGUUUGGUGAUGUUGGAUGCCAGUUAAUAAAGUCCAGAACUUAAGCCCAAGAAGAGAGCUCAGAAGUGUUUGUGUUACUCUUUAUUGAGGAAUAAUUUACAGAUAGUAAAAUUUACCCCUUAUAUCUGUACAGUUUUGUGAAUUAUGACAAACUUACUCAGGUUGUGUAACCACCAGUGCAGUCAAGGCAUAGAUUAUUUCCAUCCUUCCAGAGAAGUCUCUGGGACCUUUUGUAGUCAGUCCCCUCAUGGAAUGUUUUGAUCAACGUAGAAAUGCCUGGAGGCUGCUGGGUGGGAGGCUGAUCACUCAGCCAUCAGAGCGUCCUGUGUCUCUGAGCCGUGCACCCCAUUGUGGCAUGGCACUGGUUGCUGGACAUUCUUCUGCGGGCCCACUCACACAUCUGCCUGCCUGCGGCCUGUCUGUGUUUGUCUUACUCAUGCUCUUGGAGCCGUAGCGAAUGUGUCUAAUAUUCCUUCCACGUGGUAGAUUGAAACUUCACCAAAAUAGCCCUGUGCGCCUACUUUGCUCCUGAACAUCUCUGAUUUCUCCGGCUGUCCCUGUGUGGAGUUCUGGCAGAUCUCACCAGUCUACAUGACCUAUUGGAAAUGCCAGUGGGUCAUUGUGGCAUUCAGACACAUAAUUCAAAACUGCAAAUGGUGGGACCGCACUAAAGAAUUUUUAGUAAUUAAAGUACAGGAGGCUGAGGUGGGAGGAUCACUUCAGCCCAGGAGGUCAGGUCAAGGCUUCAGUGAGCCAUGGUUGCACCACUACACUGUAGCCUGGGUGACAAAGUGAGACCCUGUCUCAAAAAAAAAAAAAAAAAA
rnacentral:lncRNA from 1 species